rnacentral:rRNA from 1 species
UACGAAGGGGCUAGCGUUGCUCGGAAUUACUGGGCGUAAAGCGCACGUAGGCGGUCUUUUAAGUCGGGGGUGAAAUCCUGGAGCUCAACUCCAGAACUGCCUUCGAUACUGAAAGACUUGAGUCCGGGAGAGGUGAGUGGAACUGCGAGUGUAGAGGUGAAAUUCGUAGAUAUUCGCAAGAACACCAGUGGCGAAGGCGGCUCACUGGCCCGGUACUGACGCUGAGGUGCGAAAAGCGUGGGGAGCAAACAGGG